CACAAAUUGAUUUGUAUAAAGAGCGAUGCGACGGAUCAUUUCAAAGAUCUAACAGGCGACGUUUUCAAACGCUGUGGCAAAUGUAACGGUUGGUUGUGCAACGGUCAAGAAUAGUUCCGAAUGAAAGAAGUUUGCUUAAUUAAGGUACGGAAAGCAAUGUAUAUAGAUUUUGAGAUUAAGUAAAUGCUUUAGUUUCCUGACGAUAUAGCUUUCAAGAUUUUGUGAAAAGAUAUCUCAAACAUAUAGGGGGCCAGUGAAGAUAUAUAAUAUUCUACAAUAAGCUGUCGUAGUUUGUGUCUGAACUACUUGAAAAAGAUAUCUCAAACGUGGUGGUCCAGUGUAGGUAGUAUUCUACAAUAGGCUGUCGUGGUUUGUGUCUGAACUACCUGAAAAAGAUAUCUCAAACGUGGUGGUCCAGUGAAGAUAUAGUAUUCUACAAUAAGCUGUCGUGCAUGGUUUGUGUCUGAACUACCUGAAGAAGAUAUCUCAAAUAUGGGGGUGCAGUGGCGUUCUACAAUAAGCUGCCGUCGUUUGUGUCUGAACUACUUAAAAAAAAUAAAUUAAAAAGUUUCAAACGAAGGCUCUCUUUCAGAUGUUAGUGCAUGAUCUUGUUAAAUUUUCCAUCUUGUUCAAACACAAACCACACGACAGCUUAUUGUAGAAUACUACAUACACUGGACCUCCACAUUUGAGAUACUAAGUCUUUUUCAGAUAUAGUUCCAAUUCAGACACAAACCACGACAGCUUGUUGUAGAAUACUACAUAUAUACACUGGACCUCACAUUCUCAUAUACAUUCUCAAAAACUAGACUGAGUAUACAUAAUAUAAAAAGUCCAGACAAUUAUCGGACACGGAAGAAAUGGACACUGCGAAAGUUACAUUAAUAACGUAGCACGAAUGGGCACACUAAAAUGUUUUCCCUCAUAUUAGUUGGAUUUGCUGAAUAUAAACGAAACAAUUUGCGAGUAGGAUACUAUAGUUUACCAUAUAUUUUCCGAGAUAUGUUUGUACUUGCCCUUGACAUUGACAUGAAAUUGUCAAGUUAUUUAUAGGGGCAGGUGAAACGAGGUGCAAAUUGAAUUUGAAAUUUUAAUUUAAAAUUGAGCGAGGCAGGAGGUUAAUGGCAACAUAUUGCUGGCCUUCCCUCGAAACGUGCAACUGUCCAAAGCUUAUUUGCAGCUGUAUAGUUUAAAAUACACAAACCACGGCAGGUUAUUGUAGAAUCUUGACCGUUUUUUCGUGUAUAUUCAAGUAUUGUUAAUUAUAUAAGGAAGGCAUGCAUAUAUUUAUUUAAGAGCCUCUCCCACCUGUCUGAGGCAUUAGAUGCGUGCAGGACUCGAAAUAGCGGGCUGCCGAUGGCCAAAAGGAGGCCAUAUUUCAGAAAUGGCAGGCAAAAACAAAUUUGAACUGCCAAAGUAAAAAAAAAAUGGCAGGUGAUAUUCUAUAGAUAUAUUUCAUUUCAUUUGCUUAUCACAACUCAUAUAUACUAGAUUAUUUAGUUGACUAAAUACGUUUACAUUUCAAAUGUAAAUCCAAGUUGACUGAAGUAAAUAGACAAGUUUAAAAAUAGUAAAAAUGCAUAUCAUGAAGACAUUGAUUUUUACAAUGAUUCAUAUAUGAGACAUCGCCAUUUUUAGCAGUUCAAUGAAUAAAAAUGGCAGGCUAAAAUUUAUUACACCUGCCAAGAAUUUUUAGAUUGACAGGCCAUAUUUUUUCUUUUGGCUAUAUCCCUAAAUUUACAUGUGCGCAAGUAGGCAAAGUUACACACUUAUCAUUCUAUACUAAACUCGGAUAAUUUUAUCAAAUUCAAUUUAAAAACAAUCUUAAUUUCAAUCCUUAAACCUCGGUUGGAGCUCUCACUCGGUUGUUCAAAAAUCGAUAUACGCUAUAACAACAGUAUAUCCCUAUAGGUUAACAUAAAAUUCAAAGCAAACUUCCUAACACCUUGGUUAUAAAUUUGGAAAUAUUUCUUCAGAAAUCUUGUCUGGAUCGAUAGGAGUUUUCUUCUCUGACGUUUUGAGAUAAAGAGACGUGCAGAAAUACAUAAACUUAUUGGCACCUGAGUACACUACACCCACACAGAGUACACACAUGAUUAUUAGAUUACACUGAAAUCGAAGGAACUAGACUCAGUUCCGAAAUAUUACAUACUCGAACCGACCUGACAGCGUAGCUCAGUUGGCAGAGCAUUGGGCUAGUAUUCCAAAGGCAGUCGUAAGUUCGAUUCCCACCGUGGCCAGGCAUAUUUUUCAAGCUUGCUCGGUGUGGAUAUACACUCAGAGUAACAUCACAAACAUCAUAUUCACCUGAGUACAUUACACCAACACAGAAAAAUCAUGAUUAUUAUCAGAUUACAUUGAUAUCGAAGGAACUAGACUCAGUUCCGAAAUAUCACAUACUCGAACCGACCAGACCGCGUAGCUCAGUUGGCAGAGCAUUGGGCUAGUAUUCCAAAGGUCGUAGGUUCGAUUCCCACCGUGGCCAGGCAUAUUUUUCAAGCUUGCCCGGUGUGGAAAUACACUCAGAGUAACAUCACAAGCAUCAUAUUCACCUGAGUACAUUACACCAACACAGCAAAUAUCAUAAAACAGCAAGUUACAUUACAUUACAUUAUUAUUCAGCUUGGAACAACCAGCCCAUGCAGAGCUAACUAACUAGGCUAGUCUUAUAGCUAACUAACUAGGCUAGUCUUCUAAGACUAUUUUAGUUAGCUUAUUACCAUGCAAACCAUAUAUAUUAACUAUAUUAACUAAUGUAUAUAUUAUUUUUUUUGUCAUUGGUAAUAAAUCUUCUUCUCCUUCUUACCCUAACCCCUAUCCCGUCCUAGCCACAACCCUUAUGGAAAGUAGUCAACCUUGUACUCCUUAUUUUGAUCUCAAACGGGGUCACAUUAAUAAUGCACGCGGCCACCAGUAGAAUGUCUGUUUUCAGCCAUUUUUCUAAACUAUCACAAUUCAAGCGUUUCGCUCAGUAUUGACCGUUAUAAACACAAGUAUAUUUUGUUAAGUUUUGGACCGAGUGAAAGCUAUACUUUGGACAAUACAAAGAUAUCUUGGUAAUAAGGGCGUAUCUUAAUCCAUCUCUACAAAGCUAGGGAUAUGGGCAGUCAAGAUUAAUACAAAACCUUGUCAUAUUUAAUAUCUUUAGUUCGGUUUUACGAUGUUAAGAUUACGGUAAGUUUACAUCAAAAUACUGUUGUUUUAUAAACUAACUUUGUUUAUAGUGGAUGUACGGCUGGACAGCUCUUAUACAAGUCUCAUGAUCAUCUCUACACGAACUGCCGUCCCAGAUUGGCAGCCGGUGACUCCGUAACAGUCAUCUCCAAUUAAACAUAAAUGUUAUACGAGGAAAACUGAUCUAACAUUAUUCAUAUGGGAUAGCCUGUUAAGCUUUUAACUACUCUGCAGUAUGGAUUAUUCCUUAUUGGAAAAACCGGAAUCCUUGACAAAUUUAAUAUAGUCAGACAAUGGACCUAUUCCCUAAUGUAAUGAACAAAAUUUUGAUCCAGACAAGUCUAGACAAAAAUUUCAUCACAGCUUGGAAGAGUAUCACAAAAUUAGUAGUAGCCUAUUCCGAAGUUUCGUUGCGAAAUGUUGUAAAAUGCGGAUAAUAUAGCCCUGUGAAGUUUGCCAUUUUCAGUCAUUUUGUGAUUACGCGCGGGAAAUUGAUACCUUUUUUUCAGAAAGCGGUACCAAUUUCCCGUGCGUCAGUACAAAAUGACUGAAAAACGGCAAACUUCUCAGGGCUAUAUUAUCCGCAUUUACAACAUUUCGCAACGAAACUUCGGAAUAUUACUAAUUUUGUGAUGCCCUUUCAAGCUGUGAUGAAAUUUUUGUCUAGACUUGUCUAGAUCAAAAUUUUGUUCAUUAGGUAAUAGGUCCAUUGCAUACAGCAAGAAUCGAACUCUUCUGUUCUGUUCAAUUUCGGAUUACACAUUUACAUAUUUCGGCCUAAAUUGAAUUACAACUUAAUCCACACAUACAAAUAAAUAUAGGAUUGCAUUGUGCACGACUUUGUAUAUGAAUGAUAAAUUAAUACGUAAUUAAAUAUCGUUUGUUUAAUUAUUGUUGUAAUAAAUCAAAAUAAAAUCUUCCAGUGAGAAUAUGGAGCACGUAUUCACAGAGAGGUCGAUACCAGUGACAAAGAACAACACUAUAACGAAGAGAGGGAACGGCACAGCCAACGCUGGAAAUGAUUUAGUUUUGGAACUGAAAAAAGCCUUGCCAUGUAUGUUAACUUUGUGUCUCUGUGCAGGAUCGCGUUGAAAUAUGUUUAAAUUGCGUUCUACUAUAUACUUUCUAAGUGCAACCAAUAGACCUUUCCCCUUUUAAGUGAGAUUUUGAUCUGGACAAAAAUUUCAUCACAGCUUGAAAGAGCAUCACAAAAUUAGUAAUAUUCCGAAGUUUCGUUGCAAAAUGUUCUAUAAAAUGCGGAUAAUAUAGCCUUGCGAAGUUUGCCGUUUUUCAGUCAUUUUAUAUUACAAACGGGAAAUUGACAAUCAGUUUGAUCAUCUGAUUAUCAAUUUCCCGCGUGUAAUACAAAAUGACUGAAAAACAGCAAACUUCGCAAGGCUAUAUUAUCCGCAUUUUACAACAUUUCGCAACGAAACUUCGGAAUUUACUAAUUUUGUGAUGCUCUUUCAAGCUGUGAUGAAAGUUUUGUCCAGACUUGUCUAGAUGAAAAUUUCACUUAAAAGGGGAAAGGUCUAUUGCGUUCCAAAGUGCGCAGGGGCACCGGAGCCACGGGGGCCACUGCCCCCAAUGCCCAAACAGUGCGGGGGCAGCAAGGGAGCAACAGGUUGCCCUUUUUUUAAGCAAAGUUUAAGCAAUCUUUGCAUAAAUUUUAACCAGUUGUAGUAAAAUUAAUGCUAAAUCAGGCAAUAUACAUCCGCACUCCGUCAGAACUCCAUUAAACCAGCCAAUGGCUGAAUUGGACGAUCCUGCUUAAAUAUUGUUAUCAUCAUUACCAUCAUCAAAAUAAAAAUCAGUAUAAAAUUGUUCAAAAUUAAUGUCGAAGUUUGCAGACCCAUAAUAGUCACAAGUAAUCGAGUAUCCAUACAGUAAAGUUUUAACAAAUAUUGCCGCCCAGAAAAAAUGAUGGCUGAGAAGCAAGUGCCUUUUUGAAAUGGCUGCCCCCGCCGCUUUACACUGAAUCUUCUGGCGCCCCUGAAAGUGCGCUCAAGAAUGUUUUCCAUUUGAUUCUAGAAUGCAUUCUGAGCAAAGUCUAGAUGUGUCCCCAUUUUCUUCAAGAAUGCGGUCGAAGCGCGAUCAAAUCGCAUUCUAAUUGCAUCUUAGUUCAAACUGCGUUCUAAUUGCGUCGCUUGAUUAUCGUUCAGUCCGCGUCCCAAAUUGCGUUUCAUUUCCCAUGGAAAUGCAAGUUUCAACACAAGUUUCAUAUCAACCGCAUAUAAGUCAAUGAAUUUAUAGUAAAGUACGCGGUGAAGUACUCACAUUUUGUUUCUUGAAUGCAGUUCCGUUGUGGGUCGCAGGAGUUCUUGCCGGAGUAUCGGUGCUUCUCAUUCUUCUCUGUCUAGUUUGUAUCUGCAAGAAAUGCUGUUGUAAGAGG